rnacentral:rRNA from 1 species
GACGAACGCUGGCGGCGUGCUUAACACAUGCAAGUCGAACGGUGAAGCGCCUUCCUUUUUGGUGGGUGUGGAUGAGUGGCGAACGGGUGAGUAACACGUGAGUAACCUGCCCCCUUCUUCUGGAUAACCGCAUGAAAGUGUGGCUAAUACGGGAUAUUCUGGGUCUGUCGCAUGAUGGGUCUGGGAAAGAUAUUGUUUCGGUGGGGGAUGGGCUCGCGGCCUAUCAGCUUAUUGGUGGGGUGAUGGCCUACCAAGGCGGUGACGGGUAGCUGGCCUGAGAGGGUGGACGGUCACACUGGGACUGAGACACGGCCCAGACUCCUACGGGAGGCAGCAGUGGGGAAUAUUGCACAAUGGGCGCAAGCCUGAUGCAGCGACGCCGCGUGAGGGAUGGAGGCCUUCGGGUUGUGAACCUCUUUCGCCAGUGAAGCAGGCCUGCCUCGUUUGUGGGUGGGUUGACGGUAGCUGGAUAAGAAGCGCCGGCUAACUACGUG